AAGGUGUUCAUGUGGGAGGAUUGCUGUUAUCCGGACAUCAUGGACCGACGAUAACCCAGGAAGAAGGUUCUUUUCAUGUCCAUUUAAGCCUAGCAACUGCCCUUUCAUUGGUUGGGUCGACCCACCGAUGUGCUUACGGUCAUCUAGGAUCAUACCCGGUCUUUUGAGGAACAUCAACAACCUGCAAGCUGAACUGUUUACCCGCGAACAAGAAAUUCGGAAGAAGAAGAGGGUUAUAUGGUUACUGAUAUUAGCGUUAGUGUUUGGCAGCUUAAUUGUUAGGGUUGUUUGUUAUCAUUAAGAAUUAGUUAGUACUUAGUUGGAUCAUGCUUAUUAGUAUGUUUAAUGACAUUUUCCUAGUAUGUACUUGUUGAUGUUUGGUUGAAUCUGAGUUUUUUCUA